rnacentral:rRNA from 1 species
GCAAGUCGAACGCUUUUUCUUUCACCGGAGCUUGCUCCACCGAAAGAAAAAGAGUGGCGAACGGGUGAGUAACACGUGGAUAACCUACCCUCAAGCGGGGGAUAACACUUGGAAACAGGUGCUAAUACCGCAUAACAAAGAAAACCGCAUGGUUUUCUUUUGAAAGGCGCUUUUGCGUCACUUGAGGAUGGAUCCGCGGUGCAUUAGCUAGUUGGUGAGGUAACGGCUCACCAAGGCAACGAUGCAUAGCCGACCUGAGAGGGUGAUCGGCCACAUUGGGACUGAGACACGGCCCAAACUCCUACGGGAGGCAGCAGUAGGGAAUCUUCGGCAAUGGACGAAAGUCUGACCGAGCAACGCCGCGUGAGUGAAGAAGGUUUUCGGAUCGUAAAACUCUGUUGUUAGAGAAGAACAAGGAUGAGAGUAAAAAGUUCAUCCCUUGACGGUAUCUAACCAGAAAGCCACGGCUAACUACGUGCCAGC